UCGAGCGGACAGAAGGGAGCUUGCUCCCGGAUGUUAGCGGCGGACGGGUGAGUAACACGUGGGUAACCUGCCUGUAAGACUGGGAUAACUCCGGGAAACCGGAGCUAAUACCGGAUAGUUCCUUGAACCGCAUGGUUCAAGGAUGAAAGACGGUUUCGGCUGUCACUUACAGAUGGACCCGCGGCGCAUUAGCUAGUUGGUGAGGUAACGGCUCACCAAGGCGACGAUGCGUAGCCGACCUGAGAGGGUGAUCGGCCACACUGGGACUGAGACACGGCCCAGACUCCUACGGGAGGCAGCAGUAGGGAAUCUUCCGCAAUGGACGAAAGUCUGACGGAGCAACGCCGCGUGAGUGAUGAAGGUUUUCGGAUCGUAAAGCUCUGUUGUUAGGGAAGAACAAGUGCAAGAGUAACUGCUUGCACCUUGACGGUACCUAAUCAGAAAGCCACGGCUAACUACGUGCCAGCAGCCGCGGUAAUACGUAGGUGGCAAGCGUUGUCCGGAAUUAUUGGGCGUAAAGGGCUCGCAGGCGGUUUCUUAAGUCUGAUGUGAAAGCCCCCGGCUCAACCGGCG
rnacentral:rRNA from 2 species